rnacentral:rRNA from 1 species
GACGAACGCUGGCUGCGUGCCUAAUACAUGCAAGUUGAGCGCUGAAGGUUGGUACUUGUACCGACUGGAUGAGCAGCGAACGGGUGAGUAACGCGUGGGGAAUCUGCCUUUGAGCGGGGGACAACAUUUGGAAACGAAUGCUAAUACCGCAUAAAAACUUUAAACACAAGUUUUAAGUUUGAAAGAUGCAAUUGCAUCACUCAAAGAUGAUCCCGCGUUGUAUUAGCUAGUUGGUGAGGUAAAGGCUCACCAAGGCGAUGAUACAUAGCCGACCUGAGAGGGUGAUCGGCCACAUUGGGACUGAGACACGGCCCAAACUCCUACGGGAGGCAGCAGUAGGGAAUCUUCGGCAAUGGACGAAAGUCUGACCGAGCAACGCCGCGUGAGUGAAGAAGGUUUUCGGAUCGUAAAACUCUGUUGGUAGAGAAGAACGUUGGUGAGAGUGGAAAGCUCAUCAAGUGACGGUAACUACCCAGAAAGGGACGGCUAACUACGUG